AGAAACUCCCGCGCGUGCGCACUUAACAAGCCGACUCCGUGUGAGGCGGCCAGCUCGCGCCUGCGCGCUGAAUGCCGCGCGGAGGCGAGCCCCGGAUCGCCUGCCCUGCAGAGCAGCCUGCCCUGACGAGCCGCGCUCCUAGCACGCACCUGCGCACGAGCCAUCUCCCGCCUCCUUUUCCCGCCGACUGAGAGGGCGGGGAAAGGGCCGGGAAGGGCGCAUGCGCAGUGGCAGCGACUAAGGUUUAGUGAGGCGGCACCGCGCGGCCCGAGGCGGGUCUUGAAGCACUCGUUUUCCCACUCGUUUUCCGGGGUUCCCCCGCGGUGGGACAGUGAGCAGUUCAGGGCGCCGCAGCCGAGGCCUUCCUCCAGAAAAAGUUUGCCAGUUCCUAAUCCAGGACACAUGUAUUUACAUGGUUGUUAAACUUUUCUGAACAGCCAGUGGGAUGUGGUAAAUAUUUAACAGCAGCUUCUCUGGAAGAGAAUGUAUUCGUUAGUAUGUAUUUAUGUGUGUGUAUAUAGUUUAUUGUAAAUUUUACUUAUUUUUCUAUCACUUUCUUAAGACCACAAGACAAUUAAUAAAACAAAUUGAACCCUGUUUUGUAGCGUCUGCUGAUUUUCUGGGUGUGAAUCCUUCAGCCAUGGCCUAUAUUGUUACUAAUGGGAUGUCACUAGCACCAGAGUUGGGAGGACAUGCGCAGUAGUAGCACACCAGAUUCUUUUUUUUUUUUUUUUUUUUCUUUUGAGGCAGAGUCUCG
rnacentral:lncRNA from 1 species